rnacentral:rRNA from 1 species
UACGUAGGGGGCAAGCGUUGUCCGGAAUCAUUGGGCGUAAAGAGCGUGUAGGCGGCCAGAUAAGUCCGCUGUGAAAUCUCGAGGCUCAACUUCGAGCUGUCGGUGGAAACUGUCUGGCUAGAGUCCGGAAGAGGAGAAUGGAAUUCCUGGUGUAGCGGUGAAAUGCGCAGAUAUCAGGAAGAACACCAACGGCGAAGGCAGCUCGCUGGGACGGAACUGACGCUAAGGCGCGAAAGCGUGGGGAGCGAACAGG